CAGUGGGGGGUAGUCCCACCGGGGCAAGAGCCAGAGGCCCCGUAGCUUGGAUGGCAGGGCGGAGGGAGACCGAAGCUCUGAAGCCCAUUGACAAACCCAUCGGAAGGAUGGGGAGCGAGUUACCGGGCCGUAACGUGA
rfam:Candidatus Rokubacteria bacterium RIFCSPLOWO2_02_FTLL_71_18 rifcsplowo2_02_scaffold_168969, whole genome shotgun sequence.